ensembl:lncRNA
AUGCUUGGUCUCCUUUACCAGGCCAGCAUGCACACAAAUGGACUAUUGGACAGCUUAGCUAUCAGCACCUUGCAUCCUUCUGUUGGCCUCCUGACUAAGAAGUCAUGCAAGUUCAUUGGAAUGAUUUGGAGCAAGGCAUUCUGCUCACCACCACCACUACUACCACCACAGCAGAUGCCUCACCUUCAGCAUUGGGGUUGUACCCCUCUCUUCCCUUCCCCAAGGCCACAGUAUUUGGAAGGGGCUCUGGGAAGUCCUCUUGGUCAUCUGAUCCACACCAGACAACAACCCAGUGUCAGAGGACAGGAGGAUGGCAGGGGAGAGACGGGAACCCUUGGAUGUGCUCAAUUGGAUUUUGGAUUUGACAUUAAUUCCUCCAUUUCAAGCCAUGUGUCAGAUCCAGAUUUGAUCAGUUGGCCAGACUGA